rnacentral:tRNA from 1 species
GCGGAUGUGUCGUAAUUGGUAGCCGAGCCAGACUUAGGAUCUGGUGCCGAAAGGCGUGGGGGUUCGAGUCCCUCCAUCCGCA